UUGGCGGCGUGGAUUAGGCAUGCAAGUCGGUCGCCCCGCAAGGGGCGGGGCGCAAGGGUGAGUAAGGCGACGGCAACCAACCCCGAGGAUGGGUAUAGCCGCUCGAAAGGGCGGGUAAUCCCCAGCGAAGUUCUUGAGGGGCAUCUCUCGAGAACCAAAGGUGUGAGUCCGCCUCGGGACGGGCCGUCGUGGUAUCAGGUAGUUGGCGGGGUAAUGGCCCACCAAGCCGAGAACGCCUACCGGGCGUGCGAGCGUGGCCCGGCACACUGGGACUGAGACACUGCCCAGACUCUUACGGGAGGCUGCAGUCGAGAAUCUUCGGCAAUGGGCGCAAGCCUGACCGAGCGACGCCGCGUGGAGGAUGAAGGCCUUCGGGUUGUAAACUCCUGUCGAGGGGGAACAAGAUUCGGUGAAGAGCCGAGUUUGAGUGAUCCCUGGAGGAAGCACGGGCUAAGUUCGUGCCAGCAGCCGCGGUAAGACGAACCGUGCGAACGUUAUUCGGAAUCACUGGGCUUAAAGCGCGUGUAGGCGGGCCGGCACGUCGAUGGUUGAAAUCCCCCAGCUCAACUGGGGAACAGGCCUCGAUACGACCGGCCUCGAGGGGGGUAGGGGGAGCCGGAACUUCCGGUGG
rnacentral:rRNA from 1 species